rnacentral:rRNA from 1 species
GACGAACGCUGGCGGCGUGCUUAACACAUGCAAGUCGAACGGUAAGGCCCCAGCUUGCUGGGGUACACGAGUGGCGAACGGGUGAGUAACACGUGGGUGACCUGCCCCGCACUUCGGGAUAAGCCUGGGAAACUGGGUCUAAUACCGGAUAGGACCGCACCGUGAGGGGGUGGUGGAAAGUUUUUCGGUGUGGGAUGGGCCCGCGGCCUAUCAGCUUGUUGGUGGGGUAAUGGCCUACCAAGGCGGCGACGGGUAGCCGGCCUGAGAGGGUGGGCGGCCACAUUGGGACGGAGACACGGCCCAGACUCCUACGGGAGGCAGCAGUGGGGAAUAUUGCACAAUGGGCGGAAGCCUGAUGCAGCGACGCCGCGUGGGGGAUGACGGCCUUCGGGUUGUAAACUCCUUUCACCAUCGACGAAGGUUUUCUGACGGUAGAUGGAGAAGAAGCACCGGCUAACUACGUG